UCUGAGAAACCCAAAAGAUCGAAUGGGGAGAUUCAUCGUCAGCGAAUCCCGGCGAGUGCGCGGCUCGCGAUGCCGGCGGCCUCGCGCCGUAGGGCACGUGACCGCGCGUUCAACGCUGGAUGUCGUCGGCGUGCACUUCUCCUCUAGUAGGACGUCGCGACCCGUCGGGUGUCGGUCUACGGCCCGGAUGGGCGCCUGUCGCGCGCAGCGCCUCGCGGCCUCGCGCGGCAGACCCCCGGUCGCCCGACCAGCUGCCCAGCGGUACUCGCACGUUAUAGAGCCGCAAUCAUUAGAGUUGCGUCCGGCCCACCGCAAGCUUGACCAGUGAUUAACUACGGAUGAACGGACCUGGCGCCGUCACCGUGCCUGGCCGGCUGAUGGCUCGGCGGUGUACUGGGACCGGCUCGAAGAUAGCAUUACCGGUCGGCGACGCURCUGCUUUGAGACUUUC
rnacentral:rRNA from 1 species